ACUGUUGCUGUCCUGGUGCCGUCCUGGUUUCCCACCCACUUCCCCCUUAUAUCUUCUUUCUUUAGGGAGGCAAAUUUCUGACUGUGGCUUUUGGCCACCAGGACCAUUUUACCAUAUUUACUUGGGCCUGUGUCUGGUUAGGGCAAGAAAAACUGAUGUAAUGGUGUCGUUUGCCUUCCUUCAUAGCAUUGAUGUCUGGCAGCAAGCGACAGCAGGUGACUCAGAAAAACAUCGACCCUGGUAUUUGGGCUGGCAGAGGGCUACCACAGCAGGGAUAACCCACAGGUGAGGGCUACCACAGCAGGGAUAACCCACAGGUGAUGACUGCAACAGUUAAUUCACUCUAACAUCUACAUUUAUGGUAAGUGUACACAAUUGUAAUUUCUCUCAGGAGCCCAAACCUCUGUAUUAAUUAGGAUUGCAUGAUUUGAGCCUUGUUUAAAGCCUCCAUUGAUUUCAGUGUCCUCCCAUCCCCCUGUGUCUCUAGGGCAGACAGAGAAGGGACCACUGCUUUCACCUGUCGUAGUCCUUCACAGAUGAUUAUUUUAACUCCAGGCGGUUUAGGCCAGAGUCUCUUAACAGCUGACAGUACUGUUGCUCCUUUUGUGCAGACUGCUGUGGUCGUGGCAGCCUCAGUGGCAUUGAAGCUUCUGAGGCAAAUUGUGGGCCCAGCAUUGAGAUCUUGAUGUUUGUGUUGUCUCCACCCCUCAUGGCUGAUCUUGAUGUCAUAGUCUUCAUUGUUUGUUUCUGUGCUGAAGCCAGUUUCAAGGUUGGCAGUGUUUCAGUACAAGCGUCUUUGUAUGUUGAGCCCUUGGUGUUGUCUUUACUAGCAAUGGAGUAUGUACCAGUGUUAGCACUGUCCAGCACAAUUUUGGCCUUUGAAUUUUUGGAGAAGAUCACAACUUUAUGUACAAUAGAUAUGGUACCAAAAUUGGCUCCUCUCCAAGAUACCCACCAAUCAGGAGCCUUGUGUCCAACUCAUGGAUCCCAGAGACACUUGCAUUCAAAAGGUCAUAGUAAACCCUAACCUUCUGUGGAUGACCUUUUUAGGCAAUUCAGACAAGUCUCUCUUGGAUGUUCAAGGAAGAUAACAUACAAAAGGAAGUACAUUGAUUCCUCUUGAAAGUCACUGACACCAGACUCUGAUCUCAGCAAGGGUGAGGGCUCCUCCAUAGUCCCUUCUUGAAGAGACUAAAUUUGGGGAAGUAUAAUUGAUGAGGCAGUGGAGAUCUUUUCCCAUUGACCUUCUCUUGACAGAAAUUUUGUUUGAGGCCUUUUGCAGUGCUCCAUCUACAUCUUGGGUGGUUACCCUUGUGGGCUGCAUGACUGAUUUGUCAUCUUGCAGCAGGCAUCUGUAUAUGUUAGCAUGGGAUGCGGUGCUUGACAAUUCCAGCUUGCUUUAAGGAUUGCCUGCACCUCUCAGUUUAGGGCUUUUACAUACUGGCUAAGUUGAGUACACUGCCCUGUCUGGUAUGUUUCUCAAACAUAUCAAACCAUUAGACUCCAAAGGUUCCUAAACAAACAGAUCACAGGCUUAAAGCCCAUGAGCUCCCAAGAGAGGCCGAAGGCCGUAUCCCUUUAUUCAGUGUGUUAGAGACUUGAGGAGAGAUGAGUCUCACUGUACCAUUAAAGACUUUAUUAUCCUGAACCUCCUGUUCUUUGCAAGUCUAGUGUUUCCACCAGUACUAGAAUCAGGGACCUAAAUCCCCCCCUCAAAAAAACAUGAUUCAGGGAUUGGUUUAUAACCUAUUGCUUUCCCAAACCUCUGGAAUAAACUUCACAUGCUUAAGCAAUGUGAUUUACUGUGUUCCUUAAAACAUAAUCUAGAUGACUGAUGGAUAGCCACAAAAAUGUACUCCAAGAUUGACCAGUGUAGCCCUCGUGUAAAAAGGAGAGGAUGCUGUAGGGGAGGGUACUUGGCAAGUCAAGAACUAUGAUGAGACUAUGACCUUGGAAUACUUGUGCUUCACAGGAACUGGAUUCGGUAGGGCCAAUUUCUGUAAAGCACAAUAAAAUUUGUUGGCCUCACAGAGAGUACACUGGAGUAAGGAACAACUGGCAAAAACUGUUGUGGUAGUGCCAGCUAGCAAGAAGGAUUCCACUGUUAGCCUGGCAUUCCAGCCCCUUGAUUGAGAGUUGAGAAUAAUGGAGCACAUGUGGAAGCUUGCCCUCUCACCAGAUAUUUUUGCCAUUAGGGUUCUUAAUUACCUGGUGGAUAUAACUUAACUUGCAUUCAAUGAAAAUUAGUGGUGAAGACAUUAGACUUGCUGCAUAGAUGCGUAUUGAAAUUACUCAUGGAUGUAUGGAGUUACAGGUGGGUACUAUGUUAAAUAUUUUAAUUCUACCAUAAGGGUCUUACACAGUGCAGGAGAUGGAGCAGCCAUGACAGCUGACAAAGGCAUUACAGCUGGAUGCCAUGCCUGGCUUAGUUUUUGAGGAUUUGUGCAGAACCUUGUCUUUUACAAGUGACCUUUUUGAUGGGUCUCUCUCCUUCAGGCCCUAGAUGAAUGAAAGCUUGCUCAGAUGUGAACUGGAAAGCAAGACUUAUUUUUUUUCAACUGGCAUCAAAGUCCAUGGCUUCACAAAGGUUCUUUGCUAGGAACUAAAAACCUCCCUAAAAAUUUGUUCAAGAUAUCCUUGAAACAAGCUUUUAAGCAGUUUUCAGAUAGGAGUUCCUUCAGUAGUGAAGACUCCCUUGAGUGGGUGCUACCCCCCCCCCCCCAUGACAGAGGUGAUCUGUACAACCGUGGCUUCCAUGCAUACCUUUCAGUCUCAUAGCUCAAGAAGUCUGGACAACGCCUGACAUGGAGGAACAAAGGCCCAAAAAUAAGGACACAUUGUGAAUGUUGCUGUUUUAAACUCAGAGGAGUUAGAAUAAUAGGAUUUGUUAGCAUGCAUUUUCUGAAGGAUAUAAAGUCUGAAACUCAAAUACAUAUUUAGUGAUUUUAAUCCUUUGAUCAUCCCAUUGAUUUGUCAAAAAACCCACAAUUUUUACGAGGAACAGACUAAAAAUAUGAGGCAAAAAUCUGGACAUUCUGCAAAAAUAUGUAAAGUGUUGAGGUAUGAUUCCAUGGAUCUUCUUCCACCAUCAGCAACAGAACCCCUGAGAGACAGAGCAGAAUAAUUUCCAAGAGCUAGUCAGUGGGCUGUGUAGGUAAUAACCACAAAGUAAAUCUUGGUUUUGCUUUUCAGUCAUAAAACCUGAGAGUAGUUUUGUUUCCGUCUUUACUUGGUACAACUUUGAUCCACAUGUAAUACUGUUGUAAAACUGGUUUCUUGAUUUAACACAUUGUUCUGCAGUAGAAAAUGACAACUUGCUUUACUGAUUAAAACACUUGGACAGUCAGAACUUGAAUACAUUUUCUUUAUGGCACUUAAUAGCAGGACUGCUGUUGAACUUGAUCACUUUCUUUAAAGGAAGUGUACUACAUGGGAUUUUGGUAGAAAAUAUAAUGGUUAUAGGGAUGCAUCUCCAAAAUGUUAGAGUACAGUAGUUAUGAAAAGGUUGGAAAGGUAUUUCUGAAGCAGUGAAUUGUGCCAAGAGUCAGUAUAGGUCCUAUUUUUGGUGUGUGUCUGUGUGAGAGACAGAUUGCACUGAGCAGUUUGGAAGGCAUGGUUAGAUAGUAUGCUGAUGAUGCGUUGGAUUUACUUGUUGCCACAGCUUACUUUGAGGGCAGAGUAGCAGUUAACAUUUAAUGCAAGAUUGAUGCACGUCAAAAAAAAAAGUCUUGAUGACAUGCCCUUUAGUGUGCUGAGAGAAAAAGAUUUAGUGGUAAGUGGGAGUUAUAGAGCUGCAAGAAUGGAUAGAUGGGUGAGAGUGGGACUUGUAUAUCAGCUAGAAGGGGAAUUGCUGAAGAUAACUGAAGUACUGCAACAUGUAAUCCGUUGGAUUGUGUUGCUAGUGAUGAGGUAGGCUGUAAAUUGUUCGAUGGAGGGUCAGCUGUGUUGGGGCAGAAUAAGUAAAAGAUAGGACAAGGAUAGUGUAGGGUAAUAACCUAGAUGAUUGCUACAACACUUUUAUAUACAACAGGGAUUAGAGUUCUUUUAUCAGCGUAUUUGUAUAUAUACAUUGUCCUCCUGUACAGCAGAGAAACUCAGAUCUGUAAAUGUUAAUCAGGUGAAUAGAAACAAUAAUACUUUGGUUUGUUAAGUAGCAGUUUGAGUGUUGUAUGAUCCUUUUUGUGAGGUGAAGCAAAACAUAGCUGAUCUUGGUGUUAAUGCUUUAUAUUCUCAAAAAUGUUUACCACCCUACACUGACCUGUACCAUCAUGUUGUACAUAUUGUCCAUGUAAGUUCCUAUGUAAUUGAAGGCAUACUGGUUCAAGCAAGGACCUGAUUUAUUAAUCACUAUAGUAAAAUGUCAUCCCACAACUGCCUUUCAGUUUCAGGGUAUGAGGUUCACCUUUGGUCUUGUAUGCUUUCCUGGUGGAGUUUGCAUGUCCUUUUCCUCGGUUUGUUUUAGACAUUGUUUUCUCACAUCCUACAGAUGUUCUGCUUUGAUAUUGCAUAAUUAAUUUAAGCUGUUAAGUGUGUGUAGUAGUUGGAAUAUCCUAGUUGAAGUAAAAUGUAUAUUCUCACUGUGUUUAAUUGUCAUGGCACACAUAUUAGGUACCAUAUGCUGCUUUUUUCCCCUCUUGCAUAGUGCAAGAGAAUCUGGCACUCCUAUUGCCAAAGCAACCUAAGCAACCCUUAUUGGGAGACUCUGCGAUCUGAAUCACCCAGACUCUGAAGCUCGUAGUACUGCAUUUUGAGGAAGUCAGCUAAAAUCUCAUUCUCUAGCAGAAAUUCUAACCACAUCUGAGUGGUGAGUUGGAGUCAUUUACUUUUAGAUACCCAGAUUUUGAAACUGACAGUAUGACUUGAUCAUUUAGUUUAGCGGUGCACUGAUUUUCAGACUGCUAACUGUGAAUGCUGCUUUCUCAUGCAAACUUCAAAACUAUUGGAGUUUGACCUCUGAGGAAAUACAAAUUUUUGUAAACCGAUUUAACAACACUUAUUUGUGAUUAGUUUGUCAGGGAUGUCACGGUGGUGUGAAUAAUUUUAUGGUUGGUUGCCAUUUCAUUCAACAAAUUGUGGUAGACUGUCUUCAUGUUUACUUAACAUUAAAAGCAUUCCAGGGUGUUCAAAGUGACUCUCUAAAUGCAUGCAUGUCCAUUUGACAAAAACAUUUUCCUCAUGACUGGACAAUUAAAGCAUACAUCUAGGAUGGAUUGCAAUUUUGCAUGACCAUCUGCAAGAAACAGCACUAAUUUUUUGGUUGCAGACAAAAGGGUAGCGGAAAGGUGAUCCUAUCAAGUCUUCAUCUGACCUUUGCAGUCCAUCAGAAGUAAGUAUUAUUUAAUUUUGUCAUCAUAUUCUGGUUGUAAAACAAUAUAAUCUGAUUCCAAUAUAUUGCAUCUUCUCUGUUUUUAUGCAAUAGGAGUUUAAAGAAGAGGUUUGGUAAAAUCGGCUGAUGGCAUUAGAAGACAACCCAGAGUUUGGUGCAUAAAACAUGCAAAUAAAAGUAAAAUGGAUUUGCUUGAGAAAAUUCAUACUUCUGCACUUUGACUCUUGGCUUGGUGUCAUAUUUACAAAUGUCUGUUUUUUAAAUGGAAUUUUGUUCAGUAUUCACUGAGUGAAGAUCGUGAUACUGGGAGUAGCAAGGCAGUUCCCAUCAUUUUUUUAAAUACCGAUACGACUUCGAGGUCAAGGAAGUAGCAAUUUGUUCAUGAUCACACAGAGGGAAUUUAUACGACUGAAAGCCAUGUCUUGAGUUUCACAGACAGAGUUUAACCAUUUUGCUUUAGAACCUUUGUCGUGAACUGUCCUUUUUGGUUCUUUCAAAUAAAUGUGGAAUUAUUGCUUAUUCUACGAUA